AGUGGGAAACGAUGUGGGAAGGCCCAGACAGCCAGGAUGUUGGCUUAGAAGCAGCCAUCAUUUAAAGAAAGCGUAAUAGCUCACUGGUCGAGUCGGCCUGCGCGGAAGAUGUAACGGGGCUAAACCAUGCACCGAAGCUGCGGCAGCGAACGUAUCACUUAAAGCGAUUCAGCGGGUUACGAUUGACGGAGCGAAGCGACGUCAAAGCGUAUACAAAGUCGAGUCGGUUUAAGGAUACGUUCGUUGGGUAGGGGAGCGUUCUGUAAGCCUGUGAAGGUGGCCUGUGAGGGUUGCUGGAGGUAUCAGAAGUGCGAAUGCUGACAUAAGUAACGAUAAAGCGGGUGAAAAGCCCGCUCGCCGGAAGACCAAGGGUUCCUGUCCAACGUUAAUCGGGGCAGGGUGAGUCGACCCCUAAGGCGAG
rnacentral:rRNA from 1 species